ACGCACGCUGGCGGCGUGCUUCACACAUGCCAGUCGAACGGAAAGGCCCUGCUUUUGUGGGGUGCUCGAGUGGCGAACGGGUGAGUAACACGUGAGUAACCUGCCCUUGACUUUGGGAUAACUUCAGGAAACUGGGGCUAAUACCGGAUAGGAGCUCCUGCUGCAUGGUGGGGGUUGGAAAGUUUCGGCGGUUGGAGAUGGACUCGCGGCUUAUCAGCUUGUUGGUGGGGUAGUGGCUUACCAAGGCUUUGACGGGUAGCCGGCCUGAGAGGGUGACCGGCCACAUUGGGACUGAGAUACGGCCCAGACUCCUACGGGAGGCAGCAGUGGGGAAUAUUGCACAAUGGGCGGAAGCCUGAUGCAGCAACGCCGCGUGCGGGAUGACGGCCUUCGGGUUGUAAACCGCUUUCGCCUGUGACGAAGCGUGAGUGACGGUAAUGGGUAAAGAAGCACCGGCUAACUACGUG
rnacentral:rRNA from 1 species